GGAAGGUGUAGCUCAGUGGUAGAGCGCAUGCUUAACAUGCACGAGGUCCUGGGUUCAAUCCCCAGUACCUCCA
rnacentral:tRNA from 1 species